UACAGGGGGGGGCAAGCGUUGUUCGGAAUUACUGGGCGUAAAGGGCUCGUAGGUGGCCAACUAAGUCAGACGUGAAAUCCCUCAGCUUAACUGGGGAACUGCGUCUGAUACUGGAUGGCUUGAGUUUGGGAGAGGGAUGCGGAAUUCCAGGUGUAGCGGUAGAAAUGCGUAGAUAUCUGGAGGAACACCGGUGGCGAAGGCGGCAUCCUGGACCAAUUCUGACACUGAGGAGCGAAAGCCAGGGGAGCAAACGGG
rnacentral:rRNA from 1 species